UUUAAAAAAAUAAGAAUGCAAUUCUGCCAAGCCUAACUAGAUAAUGAGAGAAGUGGGAGCUGCCCCUUUAAGAAGAGGUCCGGGCAGGGUGAGAGAGUUAUUGCAGGGGCUGGAGCCUACAGCGAGUAUGCUGCUGUUUCAGGAGAGGGCUGGCUGAUAGAUGGGUGCUGAGGGGGUCUCUGUCUGCAAGAAACUCUUAAAGCAAAAGGUUUGAAUGCCUAUCGUAGACAAAGUUUUCUCUGAAAAGCUGAGUCGUGUGCCUGACCUGCUUUCCUUCCCCAGAUUUGUGCCCUCUCCCGCCUGGAACACAGAGGCAGAUAUUCCAUUUAUAGGAACAUGAGAACGGCCAGACUGGCUCAGACCCAAGGUCCAACUAGCCCAGCGUCCUGUCUCUGACAGUGGCCAGCCCCAGCUGUCUAUGCCAGACGUUGAACAAUCUGCCUAUUAGUUCUCAUCCUAGCCCUCUCAUAGUCAGAGAUCGGUGGUUUCGUCUCCCUUCCCAGCUCUUUCUACGGGGGUGAUGCCUGUGUGGACGCAGACGAUCGCUGUUCCGGUGUCAGCCAUCCUCUAGCAACACAUAGAGAACAGCCUAUGUGGAUAAGUCCAACAGAGGAAGCCACAUCACACUCUGCAAGCGUGCUAUAACCCUAAUUGCCAGACGUUACAAGCAACAGGAAAACUGUAGUCUGGGCUGCUGCUUCAGUCCUGUAACGACUGGCCAUGGAGCAUUCUCUCCAGGGCAAGCCGUCCCGGGCCCUAGCAGUGAAGCUGUGCUGGGAAGCUGAUUAGCCUCUAGCCUCUAGCCCCAUCUCACUGCCUCCCCAUCUGUGCCAGGGGAGUGGUGUAGAGUUAACCCCCUGCUUGCCGGACGCAAGGCGGAGCCUCCACACACGCCGAUCUAGGAGGCAGAGAGCGACGGUUCCGUCUCAGAAGUGAUUAAACUAAAAAAUAAAUAAAGGUUCCCCCGAGAGCCCGGACGCACACAGGCGCCCAGUGCAAAUGCUGUUUGGGAAGGAAGCUUCCGGGAAUGUUUAUAUUACAACCAACUCCCUUCCCAGCUCCAGCGCAGCGUGAGCCUGGCCAGACACAGGAAGGGAAACAAACCCAGCUUAGCCAAGUCACUAAAGAGGACUUAAUCUUUACACCUCGCGACGCUUACAGGGUCAUCCAGGGGAUACAAGGUUCCACAGAGGGAGGUGGGCUUAGAACCCUCAUCCUCUGCCACUUACGCUACAGGAGAGCACCUGAGUAUUACAUACCUUAGCCUCUCCCUGGGCCAGGCAUUAGCCAUACUCACAGCCAGCCAGCCCACAGCCCUUCUUGGGAAUGUGCUGGAGAGGCACAAAGGGUUCUUCACAUUCUCGGCACUCGAGAAAACCCGCCAUCUCCCCCCAUGCUUUCAACUCAAUGGCAUCAGAAACGCAGCACAUUCCUCUCAGCAGCGCCGCUGAAGUUCACCCACACGCCGCGUGUAGGUGGGGUAAGUCACACACGCCAUUUGUUAACAUUCACCAGGACAGGCCAGCAGCUCGCACUAGGAGGCAAACCGAACCCCCAGUCGCUCCAGCGAGACCUCUGCUUAGAAAUCCUGUUACCUGUUUAUAGACAGACAGGAUGAAACUCAACCCCCUCCCGGGUGCUUGGCUUUAAGAGCGGGAAAGGAAGAAAACCCAGCAUGCGGCUCUCCUAGUGCCCCUUCCCCAGGGCCCCUCUGCACUGCUCACCCAGCUCCCGGAGCAAACACAGCUUUUGGAGUUAAAGCAGAAACGACCAAAAGAGCCAAAUUUUCCCCUUGGAGUUAGUCACACGUGCCCAGCCCCUACUCAAGUCAGAGGAGCUCCGUGUGUGUCUGUAAUAAUCAUACCUUAUCUAGCGUUUUCAUCAGCAGAUCUCAAAACACUUUAUGCAGAGAUCACUAUCAUUAUUCCCAUUUGACAGAUGAGGAAACUGAAGCAGAGAGGUGAAGCGACUUCCCCAAGGUCCCAGGAGAGCAGAGCCAAGAACAGAACUCUGCUCCCCUGAGUCCUAGUCUUGUGCUCUAGCCACUAGCCACACUAUGCACUACUGCCCCACCACAGGGUCAAACCCCUGAUCUUCAACACUGCAGCACAGACCUCUACCGUUUCAGCUAAAGGAGGGACUUCACUAGCUGGCAGCAGUAGUAGGCUGUUAUCUUCUCUGUGGCCCAGCCACCAGAGGGAGGCAUAGCAUAUGUUUAAGCAGCAUAUUACACAGACAUUCAUCUGAAGGCAGAAGCUGACCUAAAGUUAUUAGCUACAUCAGCAAAAGUACAGACCACUACAGAGAGAAAGAAAUUGGCAGUACUGUACAACCAGAAUGGCCCAACUGAACUCUACGCCAGUGGCUCUCAACCUUUCCAGACGAAUGUCCCCCUUUCCAGAGUCUGAUUUGUCUUGCGUACCCCAAGUUUCA